AUAGCUUUUCUUUCUUAUGUAAAUAUCAGUCUACGGUAAAUACAUGGAGGAGAAGUUAAUUGUUUUACUGCAAGGCUACCCAGAGCGUUACCCUUUGUCCCACGGACUAUUUUACUUGCUUCAUCCUUUCUGUCUGAGGACGUCACAACAUUCGGUUGAAAGGUCAGCCAAACUGACAUAGACAGUGCUACGGUGUUGGAAAUUCAUUUAUUUUUGUUUUGACUUUUUUA